UAAUACGGAGGAUGCAAGCGUUAUCCGGAUUCAUUGGGUUUAAAGGGUGCGUAGGCGGAAUGAUAAGUCAGUGGUGAAAUCCCCCGGCUCAACCGGGGAACUGCCAUUGAAACUAUCAUUCUUGAGUACAGUUGAAGUGGGCGGAAUGAGUCAUGUAGCGGUGAAAUGCAUAGAUAUGACUCAGAACACCGAUAGCGAAGGCAGCUCACUAAGCUGUAACUGACGCUCAGGCACGAAAGCGUGGGGAGCAAACAGGAUUAGAUACCCUGGUAGUCCACGCCGUAAACGAUGAUUACUAGUUGUUGGCGAUACACAGUCAGCGACUGAGGGAAACCAUUAAGUAAUCCACCUGGGGAGUACGGCCGCAAGGUUG
rnacentral:rRNA from 1 species